rnacentral:rRNA from 1 species
AGCACAAGGAGCAAUCUGAGGUGGCGACCGGCGCACGGGUGAGUAACACGUAUGCAACCUAGCCUGUAAGCGGGGAAUAACCCGUUGAAAGACGGACUAAUACCGCAUAAUACUAAAUUACUGCAUGGUAAUUUAUUUAAACAUUUAUGGCUUACAGAUGGGCAUGCGCAUGAUUAGCUAGUUGGAGAGGUAACGGCUCCCCAAGGCAACGAUCAUUAGGGGUUCUGAGAGGAAGGUCCCCCACACUGGUACUGAGACACGGACCAGACUCCUACGGGAGGCAGCAGUGAGGAAUAUUGGUCAAUGGACGAGAGUCUGAACCAGCCAAGUCGCGUGCAGGAAGAAUGUCCCUAUGGAUUGUAAACUGCUUUUGCAGGGGAAUAAAGUGCAUCACGUGUGAUGUUUUGUAUGUACUCUGCGAAUAAGGAUCGGCUAACUCCGUGCCAGCCGCGGC